rnacentral:ncRNA from 1 species
UACCUGGUUGAUCCUGCCAGUAGUCAUAUGCUUGUCUCAAAGAUUAAGCCAUGCAAGUCUAAGUACGAGCUCUCGUACAGUGAAACUGCGAAUGGCUCAUUAAAUCAGUUAUGGUUCAUUUGAUCGUACAGUUUACUUGGAUAACUGUGGUAAUUCUAGAGCUAAUACAUGCGAAAAGCGCCGACCUCGCGGGAGGCGUGCAUUUAUCAGACCAAAAACCGGCCGCGUCUUCGGGCGCGUUCGCCUUGGUGACUCUGGAUAACUUUGCGGAUCGCACGGUCUAGCACCGGCGACGGAUCAUUCAAGUGUCUGCCCUAUCAACUUUCGUCGGUACGGUAUUUGCCUACCGAGGUUCUUACGGGUGACGGGGAAUCAGGGUUCGAUUCCGGAGAGGGAGCCUGAGAAACGGCUACCACAUCCAAGGAAGGCAGCAGGCGCGCAAAUUACCCAUUCCCGACGCGGGGAGGUAGUGACGAAAAAUAACAAUGCAGGACUCGUUCGAGGCCCUGUAAUUGGAAUGAGUACACUUUAAAAGCUUUAACGAGUAUCCAUUGGAGGGCAAGUCUGGUGCCAGCAGCCGCGGUAAUUCCAGCUCCAAAAGUAUAUAUUUAAGUUGUU